rnacentral:rRNA from 1 species
GGUGAACGCUGGCGGCGUGCCUAACACAUGCAAGUCGAUCGGAGCAGCAAUGCUUAGAGGCGAACGGGUGAGGAAAACGUAGUAACCAACCCUUUAGACUGGGAUAGCCACUGGAAACGGUGGGUAAUACCGGAUAAGCUCGAGAGAGGAAAGGCAGAGAAGCGCUAAAGGACGGAACUGCGCCCCAUCAGAUAGUUGGUGAGGUAAAGGCUUACCAAGUCAAAGACGGGAAACCGACGUGAGAGCGUGUACGGUCACAAGGGCACUGAGAGACGGGCCCGACUCCUACGGGAGGCAGCAGUAAGGAAUAUUGGUCAAUGGACGCAAGUCUGAACCAGCCAUGCCGCGUGAAGGAUGAAGGCCCUCUGGGUUGUAAACUUCUUUUAUCUGGGACGAAAAAAGGGAAUUCUUUCCCACUUGACGGUACCAGAGGAAUAAGCACCGGCUAACUCCGUG